CAAUCGGCUCUUUUCAGGGCCACCAACAUUUUUCAAAACGUAGAA
rfam:Nasonia vitripennis chromosome 4, whole genome shotgun sequence.